rnacentral:ribozyme from 1 species
UACAUAUAAAAGUAUACAACCAAACUGACAUAUCGCAUCCAAAAAUUCAACUUCUAUUAGCAAUUCAAUGUAUGGAUGUUGUUACAU